rnacentral:lncRNA from 1 species
AAGAAAGUGCAGAUUUGAUAUAUAUAUCUGCCCAAAACAAAAACAAUUACAGUUAUUUAAAAAGAAACAAUGCAUUAGUAUUUACCCGGAAUAUGCUAUCUUGAUCCGAAAUUUAUCAAUUAUCAUACGACGAACGCAGCCUGUUUUUUUUUUUUUUUUUUUUUUUUUGUAAGGGACGAACGCAGCCUGUUUUUUUUUUUUUUUUUUUUUGUAAGGGACGAACGCAGCCUGUUUAAUCACGAAAAGUCUUGAAACCCAAGACUCUUUACUCGCCCCUAAUUGAUAAAAUCCAGCGGCUAUAAAUUAACCUAACAACCCACACCAUUUCUGAGUUCUGAACAUUACUACUCUCACAUCUCUUCUCAAAA